AAUCUGUACCAAUUUACACAACAAUAUUGCUGUAAACUUUCCAAUCAUCAGAUUGAUUCUUAUCCCAUACUAUAACCUUAUCCGAUCACGGGGUGAUCUCAUCGUAUAUAUUACGAUUCAUUUCUAUAUCUUGAUCAUUUUGUUUUACGAUCUCCUAUCACUGUACUUUUAGUCUUUUAGACUCUAUCUAUUCACCACUACUGUUCAACUUUAUUAUCAGAGUUAGGGAACUCUGUAUCUUUACACUCGCUGAGAUUCAUCUUUGAAUCUUAUCGACUAACUAACUCUGUGUAAGUUAGUACUUAUCCUAAUCAGUGCGGUUAUUAG
rnacentral:lncRNA from 1 species